CAGCCGGCCCUACCCGGAGUCCGCCUGGGGCCGUGCCUGGGCGCUGCGCGUUGGUCCGCCGGAGUCUUGCGGUGGCUUGGGAGAGUGAGUCUAGCGCUCAGCCCUCGAGGUUGCCAAGUGCCUUGCGUUUCCACAUUUUCCCGCCGGGGCGCAUGUAGCCUGGCUUUUCUCUGAGGUGAGGCCUACAAAUGCGUGGGGCUGCCGCCGACACCAGAAGGAAAGACCGGCAUUUCUUCCUCAGGAGAAGAAAGCAGUUUCUCUUGAAGCUAAAUGUCACAUAUCCUACAUGAAAAAGUGAGACAAAGGCAAGGUAA
rnacentral:lncRNA from 1 species